ACCCAGCUAGCUCAGUCGGUAGAGCACGAGACUCUCAAUCUCAGGGUCUUGGAUUCGGGUUCCACUUUGGGAC
rnacentral:tRNA from 1 species